rnacentral:rRNA from 1 species
GUCCACGCCGUAAACGAUGAAUGCCAGUCGUCGGGUAGCAUGCUAUUCGGUGACACACCUAACGGAUUAAGCAUUCCGCCUGGGGAGUACGGCCGCAAGGUUAAAACUCAAAGGAAUUGACGGGGCCCGCACAAGCGGUGGAGCAUGUGGUUUAAUUCGAAGCAACGCGCAGAACCUUACCAACCCUUGACAUGGCGAUCGCGGACCCAGAGAUGGGUCUUUCAGUUCGGCUGGAUCGCACACAGGUGCUGCAUGGCUGUCGU